UUCGAGCUGUUUGUAAACUACACC
rnacentral:miRNA from 1 species